rnacentral:lncRNA from 1 species
ACGGGAUGCUUCGAACAGUUCGAAUCGACCGCCAUAACGAUUGACACGCGGCAUGCAUGAGCCAAUGAAAAUCCUUGUCUUGAAAAACUUUCAUAUUGUAGGCGUUCUGAUUGGUUGUUGUUCUAAGGUUAUGUCGACGCCGCGCAGUUCCUGCGGCACAGAUUUGAACCUUAAACUUUCUAUUCCCCUCCCCCCCAAAUCGGGGAGCGGAGCGCCGACGCAUUAUUAGUAGAAUGACGUCAUCAGUGUUGUGCGUGUAGAAGGCACGUAUCGUAUCGUUAGCGUGAAUCGUACAUCUAGUGGCGGUUGUUUGAUAGCUGACCAGUAUUUUUCUACCUAUGAAGUAAACUAAUGAGAUUAGAUGUGUUCGUUAUUCUGUACAUACUGUAGCUUAUGUACUCGUGUUAUUUAAGUUUAUUUUAUGUGAACAUUUUUUCUGUGAAGUACACGCGAUAAUACGGUGUUUUAUGUACCCGUAAUACCAGCGACACCGCGACUCUCCUGCACUUCGGGAUAAGCUUGAUACACGUGAGAAUACCCAGAAAUGGCAAAGUCAAAGAAUCACACAAAUCACAAUCAGAG